GUGAGGAAUAUUGCGCAAUGGAGGCAACUCUGACGCAGCCAUGCCGCGUGCAGGAAGAAGGCGCUACGUGUUGUAAACUGCUUUUAACCGGGAAGAAACCCCAGGACGUGUCCUGGGUUGACGGUACCGGAGGAAUAAGCACCGGCUAACUUCGUGCCAGCAGCCGCGGUAAUACGAAGGGUGCAAGCGUUAUCCGGAUUCAUUGGGUUUAAAGGGUGCGUAGGCGGAGCGUUAAGUCAGUGGUGAAAUCCUGCAGCUUAACUGUAGACUUGCCAUUGAUACUGGCGCUCUUGAGUGCGCUUGAAGUGGGCGGAAUGUGCCGUGUAGCGGUGAAAUGCUUAGAUAUGGCACAGAACACCAAUUGCGAAGGCAGCUCACUAAGGCGAUACUGACGCUGAGGCACGAAAGCGUGGGGAUCGAACAGGAUUAGAAACCCGUGUAGUCC
rnacentral:rRNA from 1 species